CUCAUUCUUUUCUACUUCUUCUUCAUUCUUUUUCUUCUUUCUUCUUCUCUCAUCUUCUCCUUCUUAUGUUCUUCGCCUCUGGCGAUUCUCCGAGACUUCUGAGGCUGUGAGGUUACGAGAGUUAUACUAGUUACCAAAGAUGGUGGCUGGUGGUGGUGAUUGAUGUUUAUUGGUUUGGAGAAAAGAAGAAGAGAUGAUUUUUGAAGGAAUCAGAGGUUUAGGUUUUGAGAUUAAUUCGAGGUAAGUGGUAAAUUGAUGGGUUAAUCGGGCUGUUGGUGGAUGAGGAUUAAGAGGGUCGAUGUGAUUUAAAGCUGUAGGGUAGUUCUGAUGAUUGAAUUGAAGAACUAGGGUUCCGCCAUGAUUGAAUCAUUUGUAGUUUUAGAAAAGGGGUUUGAUUUGGAAGGUACAGAUUGAGUUAGAUACGGGUUUUGUGUUAAUUUAGCAUUUGUAGCUGUUGUUGAUGAAGAAUCGGUUAAUUAAGGUUUUCUGUUAGAUGAACUUGGAAUUGAAUUUAACAGCAGCAGAGUUGAAUCAAGAGUAUUCGAUGAUUGAUGCUGCUGGUGCCAGUGAAGAAUUCGAACAGUUGAGAAAAGGUAAUUAAGUUAGUUUGAUUUGGGGUUUGUAUUCUUUCCCAAAUCAGAAAUUAUGGUUUCUUAUAAUUGAUUAUAUUUGUAUAAAAUUGAGUAUAAGAUGAUGAAAUAUUAGAUGGGUUUUGUUGAAUUGGUGAAGGGGUGUUAUUUGAGUAGAGCUGUUAUGGAGGUUUCUUGGAGUUGGAAUCACAAGUGAUGCUGUAUUGUGAACAUCAGUUGCAGGGAAUGGCUAAGUUGAGAAAUGGUAGUAUAGGAUUAGGAAUGGUGGCUCAGUGGUAGCUUGGAAUUACUGCAACUGCAGGUAAGCUAAGAUUGUCUUUGUAAUCAAAUUAUGAAGUUUGUAUGAAGAUAUUGAUUUGCUGUUAUGGUUGUGAAUGAGUUAAACUGAAAGAAUGAAGAUGGUGGUAUUGAAAGAUGAUUAAGCUAAGUCUGGGUUGCAGAUGUAGUAAUUGAUCUGAUGAGGGAAUAUGUUGAUGUUGUUAAGUGACUUGAUGGCUAGAGAUGGUGAUACCGUUUGUGUAAUGAAUUAGAGCAUGAUCUAACAUGAGAAUUUAUGUGACUGAAGUACUGGAAUGAGGGUUAGAUGAUUAUAUGGAGUUGAACCUCUCUUGUAGAAGUUUGUAACUGCAAUCGCAGGACGAACCAGUGGAUCGUGGAUCUCGAGGUAGGCGUGGCUUAUCAUCAAAAGAGUUUCAGAGACGGAUCAGAGUUGCGCAGUGAAAGCUUCAACGGUUGAUUUCAUUAGUUGGUUAACUUUUAAUAUGUUUAUCACAAUGCAUAUUGUAUUUGUAAACCAAAUGACUAUAGUAUAAGAAGUUCUUGUAUAUAUAUAUUUCUGAGCGGGGCUAGUUUUGGGUUAAGUUUUGU